GAGAGGUCUUGUGGGGCCUUAGCUCAGCUGGGAGAGCGCCUGCUUUGCACGCAGGAGGUCAGCGGUUCGAUCCCGCUAGGCUCCAUUAGGAUAGAGAUAUCCUAAAAAUUGUCCAUUGAAAAUUGAAUAUCUAUAUCAAAUUCCACGAUCAAGAAAUUGAUUGUACGAAUAGUAACAAGAAAAUAAACCGAAAACGCUGUGAAUAAUCAAGAGUUUUUCUAGUUAAG
rnacentral:tRNA from 1 species